GAUGAACGCUGGCGGCGUGCCUAAUACAUGCAAGUCGAGCGAACAGACGAGGAGCUUGCUCCUCUGACGUUAGCGGCGGACGGGCGAGUAACACGUGGAUAACCUACCUUUAAGACUGGGAUAACUUCGGGAAACCGGAGCUAAUACCGGAUAAUAUAUUGAACCGCAUGGUUCAAUAGUGAAAGACGGUUUUGCUGUCACUUAUAGAUGGAUCCGCGCCGCAUUAGCUAGUUGGUAAGGUAACGGCUUACCAAGGCAACGAUGCGUAGCCGACCUGAGAGGGUGAUCGGCCACACUGGAACUGAGACACGGUCCAGACUCCUACGGGAGGCAGCAGUAGGGAAUCUUCCGCAAUGGGCGAAAGCCUGACGGAGCAACGCCGCGUGAGUGAUGAAGGUCUUCGGAUCGUAAAACUCUGUUAUUAGGGAAGAACAAAUGUGUAAGUAACUAUGCACGUCUUGACGGUACCUAAUCAGAAAGCCACGGCUAACUACGUG
rnacentral:rRNA from 1 species